GACGAACGCUGGCGGCGUGCUUAACACAUGCAAGUCGAACGGAAAGGCCCUGCUUUUGUUGCGUGCUCGAGUGGCGAACGGGUGAGUAACACGCGAGUAACCUGCCCUUGACUUUGGGAUAACUUCAGGAAACUGGGGCUAAUACCGGAUAGGAGCUCCUGCAGCAUGGUGGGGGUUGGAAAGUUUCGGCGGUUGGGGAUCGACUCGCAGCUUAACAGCUUGUUAGUGGGGUAGUGGCUUACCAAGGCUUUGACGGAUAGCCGGCAUGAGAGGGUUAACGGCCACAUUGGGACUGAGAUACGGCGCAGACGGCGACGGGAGGCAGCAGUGGGGAAUCUUGCGCAAUAAGCGCAAGCCUGCUACAGCCACGCCGCGAGCGGGAUAACGGAUUUCGAGUUUUAAACAGCUUUCGCAUGUGACGAAGAGUGAGUGACGGUAAUGGAUAAAGAAGCACCGGCUAACUACGUG
rnacentral:rRNA from 1 species